rnacentral:rRNA from 1 species
UACAGAGGUCUCAAGCGUUGUUCGGAUUCAUUGGGCGUAAAGGGCGCGUAGGCUGCGGGGCAAGUCGGGUGUGAAAUCUCAGAGCUCAACUCUGAAACUGCACUCGAUACUGCUUUGCUUGAGGACUGGAGAGGAGAUUGGAAUUCACGGUGUAGCAGUGAAAUGCGUAGAUAUCGGAAGGAACAUCAGUGGCGAAAGCGACUUCCUGGACCAAUACUGACGCUCAUGUGCGAAAGCGUGGGGAGCAAACAGG